rnacentral:rRNA from 1 species
GACGAACGCUGGCGGCGUGCUUAACACAAGCAAGUCGAACGGUGAAGCGCCUUCCUUUUUGGUGGGUGUGGAUGAGUGGCGAACGGGUGAGUAACACGUGAGUAACCUGCCCCCUUCUUCUGGAUAACCGCAUGAAAGUGUGGCUAAUACGGGAUAUUCUGGGUCUGUCGCAUGAUGGGUCUGGGAAAGAUAUUGUUUCGGUGGGGGAUGGGCUCGCGGCCUAUCAGUUUGUUGGUGGGGUGAUGGCCUACCAAGGCGGUGACGGGUAGCCGGCCUGAGAGGGUGGACGGUCACACUGGGACUGAGACACGGCCCAGACUCCUACGGGAGGCAGCAGUGGGGAAUAUUGCACAAUGGGCGCAAGCCUGAUGCAGCGACGCCGCGUGAGGGAUGGAGGCCUUCGGGUUGUGAACCUCUUUCGCCAGUGAAGCAGGCCUGCCUCGUUUGUGGGUGGGUUGACGGUAGCUGGAUAAGAAGCGCCGGCUAACUACGUG